UACGGAGGGAGCUAGCGUUGUUCGGAAUUACUGGGCGUAAAGCGCACGUAGGCGGCUAUUCAAGUCAGAGGUGAAAGCCCGGGGCUCAACCCUGGAACUGCCUUUGAAACUAGGUAGCUAGAAUCUUGGAGAGGUCAGUGGAAUUCCGAGUGUAGAGGUGAAAUUCGUAGAUAUUCGGAAGAACACCAGUGGCGAAGGCGACUGACUGGACAAGUAUUGACGCUGAGGUGCGAAAGCGUGGGGAGCAAACAGG
rnacentral:rRNA from 1 species